rnacentral:rRNA from 1 species
ACGAGCGCAACCCUUGUCCUUAGUUACUAACAUUAAGUUGAGCACUCUAGGGAGACUGCCGGUGACAAACCGGAGGAAGGUGGGGACGACGUCAAGUCAUCAUGGCCCUUACGGCCAGGGCUACACACGUGCUACAAUGGGUUGUACAGAGGGUUGCGAAGCCGCGAGGUGGAGCUAAUCUCAGAAAACAACUCGUAGUCCGGAUCGGAGUCUGCAACUCGACUCCGUGAAGUCGGAAUCGCUAGUAAUCGCGAAUCAGAAUGUCGCGGUGAAUACGUUCCCGGGCCUUGUACACACCGCCCGU